UACGUAGGGGGCAAGCGUUGUCCGGAAUUAUUGGGCGUAAAGAGCUCGUAGGCGGUCUGUCGCGUCUGCUGUGAAAUCUCAGGGCUUAACCCUGAGCUUGCAGUGGGUACGGGCAGACUAGAGUGCGGUAGGGGAGACUGGAAUUCCUGGUGUAGCGGUGAAAUGCGCAGAUAUCGGGAGGAACACCGGUGGCGAAGGCGGUUCUCUGGGCCUGACCUGACGCUGAGGAGCGAAAGCGUGGGGAGCGAACAGG
rnacentral:rRNA from 1 species